rnacentral:rRNA from 1 species
AUUGAACGCUGGCGGCAUGCUUUACACAUGCAAGUCGAACGGUAACAGGCCUUCGGGUGCUGACGAGUGGCGAACGGGUGAGUAAUGCAUCGGAACGUGCCCAAUCGUGGGGGAUAACGUAGCGAAAGUUACGCUAAUACCGCAUAAGCCCUGAGGGGGAAAGUGGGGGACCGCAAGGCCUCACGCGAAUGGAGCGGCCGAUGUCAGAUUAGCUAGUUGGUGGGGUAAAGGCCCACCAAGGCGACGAUCUGUAGCGGGUCUGAGAGGAUGAUCCGCCACACUGGGACUGAGACACGGCCCAGACUCCUACGGGAGGCAGCAGUGGGGAAUCUUAGACAAUGGGCGCAAGCCUGAUCUAGCCAUGCCGCGUGAGCGAUGAAGGCCUUAGGGUUGUAAAGCUCUUUCAGGGGGGAAGAUAAUGACUGUACCCCCAGAAGAAGCCCCGGCUAACUCCGUGCCAGCAGCCGCGGUAAAGUGUGACUG